UCAGAGGAAGAGAGAGAAGAGAAUCCCGGAGGCGUCGGCAAGGCGUCCGCCCAGGGACCGGAGGAUAAAGAGUGGUCGACUUUGGAAUUCACAUUUUGAGUGGAGUGGCAGUGGACCUGGGCUGGUUUGCACUGCUAAUUGAGGAAUUAGGAGGUCGAUCACUCUCAAAGAGUGAAGAAAAAAACAAAUCGCUAAGAUGCCAAAUACCUGAAAGAGAAACUCAGCCGGAAGGAAAGAGCCCAAAAAGUGCUGUUCAGAGACAAGUGAGCCAUCUGCAGGCAAAGCUGGAGCUGCAGGAGCGGAUUAAAAACUUGCGUUACAAAAAUAUUAGAAAAAGGGGCGAGAUUUGAGACCUGUGAGAAGAAUCAUGAGUGCAGUAGGGCAAAGAAAUGUGUCAGACAGUGGCUUCUCUGGUCAGAGUGUUAGUCCGAACGACUGCUACUUAAAGCCGGGUUUCCUGAAAAUCAGAAAGAAGUUAGGAGGCUGGGAUCUCAUAUGACUCUUCUCAUUGUGCCCUAGGAUGAGAAAGUACAUGGGCCGACUAAACGCGUGUCACUGCAUUGCCAGUUUUAUAGUUCACUUUUAAUCGCAAAUAUUAGUAAUUUCUAAUCUUUUUCGCCCCUCAACGUGUCAGUCUCUUCACAUUUCAACAACUGAUUAGUUGAAAAUAACUUUUCCCUUCGCUGUUUCUGGACUCCUUUACCAUAAAUGAAACUAUAGCUACCAUUUAAUCUGUAAUAGUUGUGUUUUUUUCUCUACGGAUUAUUUUCAUAUUGAAUAUUAACUCAAACAUGAUUAGAUGCUUAUCUCCACCAGGGUACUUAUUAAAGAUACUCGUUUCCUAAGGCUUAUUUCUUAAUGAGCAAGCCCAUAUUCUUCCCAUAACAUACAUACAUAUAUAUAUAUAUAUAUAUGAAGAUAGCAGGUGAUAAAAGAUAAACCCAUAUACAAUACCAAAAUGUUGAGGAUCAUUGAGUACAGUAAACAGUAUAAAAUUUACUUUAAGCAAAACAUGAGCGGAACUUUAAAUAUUUAUUAUGGUUCUGGUUACCUGACAGCAAUAAAAAACAUGAAUCCCAAAAUCGUUUUUUUUUUUUUUUUUUAAAUUUGUAGCUAAAGUUAACGUAAGGCAAAAUGACCUAGACAGAUCAUUAUCCAGACCUAAUGCAAAAGUCAUUAUUGGAUGAAAGUACUAUUUCUGCCACUGUAAAAAAGAAUAUCUUCCUUGAGCUUUCUCGAAUUAAAGUAUGACUAACCAUUAAAUUCAGUGACACUACAGUAUCUUAGCCAUGUUACUCCUACAUGAGCCAUUGGUAUAAUCUAUAGUUUGAUUUCAAAUUUAAACUCACUGUAUAGCACUGGUAGUCUCAAAUGCACAGCGUUCCUCCUGCCUCAAACUCCUAAGUGCUGGGAUUAUAGGUGUGCACUAGCUGCAUAUCAUUGUAGUUUUUUACAUUUCUCUGAUUGCUAAAGAUAUUGAACAUUUUUUAACCAAUUCGUGAUGGGCACAGUUGUAAUCUCAGCUCUCCCAAAAGCUGAAGAGGAAGGUCAGGAGUUCAAGGACAGUGUGGGUUAUGUAUCAAAUUUGAGGCCACCAUGGGUCAUUAAAAAAACAGAGAUGAACUUUUUAAACAUAAUUAUGGCCUGUGAUUUGUACUUCUUCUUUUAAAACUGUCUGCCCAUUUGUCUGUUUCAUGACUGUUUUUUUUUUUCUUUCAGUUCUUUAUGUAUUCUGGAUAUUAAUCUUCUGUCAGACAAGUACAAGUAUUUAGCAACAGUACUCCAUCAACGCAACCCUGCUUCCUGUGGAGUGCUCUUCUGAGUUCUGUGUGGAGUCACAGCAUCAGUAUUACCUGGGGAAGGAUGUGCUGCACAGGAGAAACAAUACAGACACAAGCAUGGUGAAACUGCAUCUUCAUGAUGGCAAGGCAGGGUAAAUGAGUAGGAUCUGAGUCUUAUCAAACCAGGAAAACUGUACAGGCAAUAAAGGGUCCUGAAAGACUUGAGGGAUAUGGCUAAGUUGAAAAAGUUCCUAAGAGAAGAAAACAGCACAAAGUAUAAAAUAAGACAUAGAAAUCACCGCAGCAUAUUCAUUGAGCACCCUUUGUACUGUAUGCCGGUCACUAAAAGAACAUGAAACAAGAAUACUAUUUUUUAAACUACUAGGGCAGAUUACAUGCUUUUAUGGGAAAAAAGACAACAUGCAGUCUAGUGAUUCCAGACAGCAAGGAGUGCAGUGAAAAGGCACACCUCGUCAGAGUGCAGUGCUGAAUUACCUGCGCAAAGGCGACUCUGGAGUCAGAACUGACAGUAACUAAAGGAAAGGAAGCUACUCUACAAUGGAAUCUGAAGUCUGGGGACAAUGGAAAGAUACAAGGGACAGGAUGUCCUUGAUAGUAUGGUGAUGAAUAUAUUGCUGCUGGUAAAGAUGAUUUUAAUAAAAUAAUAAAUAACUUGGAAACUGCAAGUUA